GACGAACGCUGGCGGCGUGCUUAACACAUGCAAGUCGAACGGUAAGGCCCUUCGGGGUACACGAGUGGCGAACGGGUGAGUAACACGUGGGUGAUCUGCCCUGCACUUCGGGAUAAGCCUGGGAAACUGGGUCUAAUACCGGAUAGGACCACUGCCUGCAUGGGUGGUGGUGGAAAGCUUUUGCGGUGUGGGAUGGGCCCGCGGCCUAUCAGCUUGUUAGUGGGGUGAUGGCCUACCAAGGCGACGACGGGUAGCCGGCGUGUGAGGGUGACCGGCCACACUGAGACUGAGAUACGGCCCAGACUCCUACGGGAGGCAGCAGUGGGGAAUAUUGCACAAUGUGCGCAAGCCUGAUGCAGCGACGCCGCGUGAGGGAUGACGGCCUUCGGGUUGUAAACCUCUUUCAGCACCGACGAAGCGCAAGUGACGGUAGGUGCAGAAGAAGGACCGGCCAACUACGUGCCAGCAGCCGCAGUAA
rnacentral:rRNA from 1 species